GAUGAACGCUGGCGGCGUGCCUAAUACAUGCAAGUCGAGCGAACAGACGAGGAGCUUUCUCCUUCGACGUUAGCGGCGGACGGGUGAGUAACACGUAGGUAACCUACCUAUAAGACUGGGAUAACUUCGGGAAACCGGAGCUAAUACCGGAUAAUAUUUCGAACCGCAUGGUUCCAUAGUUAAAGAUGGCUUUGCUAUCACUUAUAGAUGGACCUGCUCCGUGUUAGCUAGUUGGUAAGGUAACGGCUUACCAAGGCAACGAUACGUAGCCGACCUGAGAGGGUGAUCGGCCACACUGGAAGUGAGACACGGUCCAGACUCCUAGGGGAGGCAGCAGUAGGGAAUCUUACGCAAUGGGGGAAAGCCUGACGGAGCAACGCCGCGCGAGUGAUGAAGGUCUUAGGAUCGUAAAACUAUGUUAUUAGGGAAGAACAAACGUGUAAGUAACUGUGCACGUAUUGACGGUACCUAAUCAGAAAGCCACGGCUAACUACGUG
rnacentral:rRNA from 1 species